GCCAAUGCUUUACACUUAUUAGCCUUUUAUAUAGACACUUGGUGGGGGGCAUGUGGGUUUUUUAAAGAACUUUCCUUUGCAGAGGCUUCGUUUCAUCCUUCAUGAGGCUGUUCAGGAUUUUGACUUGCAUAUAAACGCUUGGCUCUGCCUUCUGUUCUCCUAGUGGGUGUGUGAGACCUUGCAACUACACAGAAUGCAGUUGUCUUGACCUCAGGUCUGUCUGUUCUGUUGGCAAGUAAUAAUGCAGUACUGUUCUGACCUGCUGCUAUUAGAAUGCAUUGUGAAACGACUGGAGUAUGAUUAAAAGUUAUGUUUCCCCCAAUGCUUGGAGUAGUGAUUGUUGAAGGAAAAUCCACUGAGUGAUAAAAGGCUGAGUGUUGAGGAAAUUUCUGCAGCUUUAAGCAUUCAUGUUUGUGAUUGAAGCAGUCCUUUUUGCUGUGCUUUAGGUAAAAUGCUUUUUGUUCACUUCUGGUAGGGGGGGUGGGGAGGGCACUGAAGCCUUUAGUCUUUUCCAGAUGCAACUUUAAAAUCAGUGACAAGAAAUAAGUUCCAAACGAACAACAGACUUCAAGAAGUUUAACUGGCAAGUGGAAACGUUUUAACAUCAGUUCAGUGGUCUUAGUGCAUUGUGUGUGCAGGUUUCUCUCUUCCCUCCCUUGGUCUCAAUUCUUAUACACAGGAACAUUCAGAACAACAGAUGAAGGGCCAGAGAAGCCAGACCCAUUCUUUCAGAUGGUACUCUUCAGACUAGAAGGAGCUUCCAGUUGA
rnacentral:lncRNA from 1 species